GACGAACGCUGGCGGCGUGCUUAACACAUGCAAGUCGAACGGUAAGGCCCCUUCCGGGGUCCACGAGCGGCGAACGGGUGAGUAACACGUGCGUGAUCUUCCCUGCCCUUCGGGACAAGCCUGGCAAACUGGGUCUAAUGCUGAUUAGGACCACGCUCUUCAUGGGGUGUGGUGGAAAGCUUGUGCGGGUUGAGAUGGGCCCGCUGCCUAUGAGCUUGUCGGGGGGGUUAUGUGAUACCAUGGCGACGACGGAUAGCCGGCCUGAGAGGGUGUCCGGCCACCAUGGGACUGCGAUACGGCCCAGACUCCAACGGGAGGCAGCAGUGGGGAAUAUUGCACAAUGGGCGCAAGCCUGAUGCAGCGACGCCCCGUGGGGGAUAACGGCCUUCGGGUUAUAAACCUCUUUCAGUACAGACGAAGCGGAAGUGACGGUAGCUAAAGAAGAAGCCCCGGCCAACUACGUG
rnacentral:rRNA from 1 species